rnacentral:piRNA from 1 species
UAUCCCUGAUACCCCAGGAGCCUAUUGAC